rnacentral:rRNA from 1 species
GCAUGACUCUUGGCAAUGGAUAUCUUGGCUCUUGCAUCGAUGAAGAACGUAGCGAAAAAUGAUACUUGGUGUGAAUUGCAAAAUCUUGUGAACCAUUGAGUCUUUGAAUGCAAGUUGCGCUCAAAGCUAUUGGGCUAAGGGCACUUCUGCUUGGGUAUUACGC